GAUGAACGCUGGCGGCGUGCUUAACACAUGCAAGUCGAACGGAAAGGCCCAAGCUUGCUUGGGUACUCGAGUGGCGAACGGGUGAGUAACACGUGGGUGAUCUGCCCUGCACUUCGGGAUAAGCCUGGGAAACUGGGUCUAAUACCGGAUAGGACGAUGGUUUGGAUGCCAUUGUGGAAAGUUUUUUCGGUGUGGGAUGAGCUCGCGGCCUAUCAGCUUGUUGGUGGGGUAAUGGCCUACCAAGGCGUCGACGGGUAGCCGGCCUGAGAGGGUGUACGGCCACAGUGGGACGGAGAUAAGGCCCAGACUACUACGGGAGGCAGCAGGGGGGAAUAUUGCACAAUGGGCGCAAGCCUGAUGCAGCGACGCCGCGUGGGGGAUGACGGCCUUCGGGUUGUAAACUCCUUUCGCUAGGGACGGAGCGUUUUUGUGACGGUACCUGGAGAAGAAGCACCGGCUAACUACGUG
rnacentral:rRNA from 1 species